rnacentral:miRNA from 17 species
CAAGAGGAGGAGCAGCAGGGUGAAACUGACACAGUUCUGGUGAGUUUCACUUUGCUGCUCCUCCUGA